rnacentral:rRNA from 1 species
UAGAGGAAGUAAAAGUCGUAACAAGGUUUCCGUAGGUGAACCUGCGGAAGAUCAUUACUGAAUUUUGAAAGGGGUUGUAGCUGGCCUCUUUAUCGGAGCAUGUGCACACCCUGUUCAUCCAUUCUACACCUGUGCACACCCUGUAGGUGGUUUUGAAUGGGUCUUCUUAUGAGGACUUGUUGAGACCUUCCUAUGUUUUAUACACACACUUUGUCAGUUAAAGAAUGUAAUCGCGUUUAACGCAUUUAUACAACUUUCAGCAACGGAUCUCUUGGCUCUCGCAUCGAUGAAGAAGCAGCGAAAUGCGAUAAGUAAUGUGAAUUGCAGAAUUCAGUGAAUCAUCAAUCUUUGAACGCACCUUGCGCUCCUUGGUAUUCCGAGGAGCAUGCCUGUUGAGUGUCAUGGAAUUCUCAACCCUCUCAUCUUUGUUGUGAGUUGGGCUGGAUUUGGAGGCUUUGCUGGUUUUUGUAAAUCAGCUCCUCUUGAAUGCUUAGCUUAAACCUCUGCGGAACGGCUGUUCGGUGUGAUAAUUGUCUACGCGUGCGUCGUGAAGCUUUGUUACACUUUGUUGUGUAAGGGGGUGUAGCUCCAAUCGUCUCUUUAUUGGGACAAUAUUUGACCUCUGACCUCAAAUCAGUAGGAUUACCCGCUGAACUUAAGCAUAUCAAUAAGC